GUGGGGAAUCUUGCGCAAUGGGCGAAAGCCUGACGCAGCCAUGCCGCGUGAAUGAUGAAGGUCUUAGGAUUGUAAAAUUCUUUCACCGGGGACGAUAAUGACGGUACCCGGAGAAGAAGCCCCGGCUAACUUCGUGCCAGCAGCCGCGGUAAUACGAAGGGGGCUAGCGUUGCUCGGAAUUACUGGGCGUAAAGGGCGCGUAGGCGGACAGUUUAGUCAGAGGUGAAAGCCCAGGGCUCAACCUUGGAAUUGCCUUUGAUACUGGCUAUCUUGAGUAUGGAAGAGGUAUGUGGAACUCCGAGUGUAGAGGUGAAAUUCGUAGAUAUUCGGAAGAACACCAGUGGCGAAGGCGACAUACUGGUCCAUUACUGACGCUGAGGCUCGAAAGCGUGGGGAGCAAACAGGAUUAGAAACCCGUGUAGUCC
rnacentral:rRNA from 1 species